rnacentral:rRNA from 1 species
CAGUAGCCACGGUAAUACAGAGGAUGCAAGCGUUAUCCGGAAUGAUUGGGCGUAAAGCGUCUGUAGGUGGCUUUUCAAGUCCGCCGUCAAAUCCCAGGGCUCAACCCUGGACAGGCGGUGGAAACUACCAAGCUGGAGUACGGUAGGGGCAGAGGGAAUUUCCGGUGGUGCAGUGAAAUGCGUAGAGAUGUGGAGGAAUACCGAUGGCGAAGGCAGCGACCUGGUCCUUGACUGACGCUGAGGCGCGAAAGCGUGGGGAGCAAACAGGAUUAGAUACCCCGGUAGUCCCUGUCUCUUAUAC